UCCGGUUUGUCACCGGCAGUCCCAUUAGAGUGCCCAACUGAAUGUAGCAACUAAUGGCAAGGGUUGCGCUCGUUGCGGGACUUAACCCAACAUCUCACGACACGAGCUGACGACAGCCAUGCAGCACCUGUGUUGCGGUUCCCUUUCGGGCACCGAGGUAUCUCUACCCCCUUCCGCACAUGUCAAGGGUAGGUAAGGUGGGGAUGACGUACUCUACG
rnacentral:misc_RNA from 1 species